rnacentral:lncRNA from 1 species
AUUUAUGAUUCAUUUAUCUUCAUUAAACAUGAACAAGCAUUAACAAUAUUCAUAUUACAAUGGUACCUUCGACUUGCCGGAAGGUGAGAGAGCAAGAGUGGCACGAGAGCGAUUACAAUCCAGUGUGAACAGUAUGGUGUUACUGUUCAUCUAUUUAUAUGCGUGGGACGCAGACCGGAUAAAAGUACAUUUAUAUCUUUGGUAACUGCCUACAACCCUAACAUGAAUUAUUGAGGACUAUAAGGUCUUUAGCCUCUUUCAGUCAUCAUCAUGCUUGGGCUUCGUCGAUAUGUUAAGCCGAAGUCCUUGGCUUCUAGCUUCGCCGCCCAGUCUUUAUCUCCCCUCCUUCCGUCAUAAGAGAAGUUCUUCAUCCCAAGGCCGAAGCUUACUGUAACUAUUCAUAAUCAUGCUCAAAACAUAUGGUUAAUCACGUUUUUGAGGACCUUCAAAAGAGGAAGGCCCCCAAUAGUGAACUACUAGAAACACUAAUUAAAAAUGCUUAUCACAUAAUUAUAAAACUAACAAACCAUUUCUAUUUUAUUCAGGUUCCUAAUAUACAUUUUAUAAUAAAAACUGCAGCUGGAACCUUUGCAAAAUUAAAGGUAGACUAGGAGGAGUAGCUAAUAAAGUUGUGUUUUUUGAAUUCAAAAUAGAAAUUUGAAAAGAAAACCGAUAAUGAAGAAGAAAGAGAAAAAAGAAACACUACCUGCUGCCUGGGCCGAAACCCCGGCGCCGAGUUUGGAUCUCUACGUAACAAACGCUUCUUCUACGAUGACAUGCGGGCCCGUGCACCAGCGACCCCUCGCGGCUCGCGCGCUCGCGGUAGACACCGAUGCGUGGCCCCCCUAGUCAGCUCUACCCCCUUCAGAGGCUGCGCUCGUCGUGAACAGACUCCAAC